GAGCUCUUGUAACAAGCUUUGUCGCGGUAGACAGCUGCUCAUUCUUUUUAUUUAUAGAUAGACAGUUUUUAACAACGAGGACAAAUCGUAAGGUUUCGGCACUGUGUUCAAGGCGUUUUUUUUUUGUUUAAUAUUUUUCAAAGAUUUUUUUUUUUUACAUAUUUUGUUAGAUAUCGUCUUUUACGUCAUCACAGAGUAUCUUUUAAUUGUAGAGAUGUAUGAAAUAUCAUAUAAUAUUCUAUAAUACGUUAUAUUAAAUUUUACAAUUAUUGACGUCUCACGAAAAUGAUAACCGACCGAUCACGUAAUGAGUACACGUAUCACGUGACUUGAAAAUCUGCUCUGUCCCGCCUCGAUUGCACUCCACGGUGACCGGCCCGACUGCCAAAAAAUACUGGAAAUAGGACUCAAAAUAUAAUGACAUUUGAUGAGUUUGCUACAACAUGCACAAAGGAGUAAUUAGAAGAAAGUGUAUACUUCAUCGAUCGCCACAGAUCGUGAAGUAGUGUGCGCCUGCUCGCCGGGAUGUUUAUAAGACACCACCCUUGAUUCCAAGGAUAUACAUACCA